rnacentral:rRNA from 1 species
UACGUAGGGCGCAAGCGUUGUCCGGAAUUAUUGGGCGUAAAGAGCUCGUAGGCGGUUUGUCGCGUCCGCUGUGAAAACCUAAGGCUCAACCUUGGGCUUGCAGUGGGUACGGGCAGACUAGAGUGCGGUAGGGGUGACUGGAAUUCCUGGUGUAGCGGUGGAAUGCGCAGAUAUCAGGAGGAACACCGUGGCUAAGGCGGCUCUCUAGUACGGUACUGACGCUGAGACGCGAAAGCGUGGGGAGCGAACAGG